UUUUUAGAGAGUUUGAUCCUGGCUCAGGAUUAACGGUGGCGGCGUGCAUAACACAUUCAAGUCGAACGGAAGUAGCAAUACUUUAGUGGCGGACGGGUGAGUAACGCGUGAGUAAUCUACCUCAGGGUGCGGAAUAACAACCGGAAACAGUUGCUAAUACCGCAUAACAUAUAGGUACUGCAUGGUACUUAUAUCAAAGGCUUGCUGCCCUGAGAUGAGCUUGCGUCCGAUUAGGUAGUUGGCGGGGUAAGAGCCCACCAAGCCGACGAUCGGUAGCCGGACUGAGAGGUUGAACGGCCACAUUGGAACUGAGAUACGGUCCAGACUCCUACGGGAGGCAG
rnacentral:rRNA from 1 species